rnacentral:rRNA from 1 species
AUGGACGGCGACGGCGACGGCAACGGCAUGUGCUUCCCUUACGACGUGCUCCUCCACAUCCUCCGCGGCCUUCCCUGCCGUGCUCUCGCCGAGUCCCGGCGUGUCUGUCGUGCAUGGCGCUCGAUCGUCGACACCCACAAGCUCCUCCUUCCUCACUUUUUUCCUCGAGGCUCCUUCCCCGGCAUCUUCACCAGGAACUAUGGAUCCAACAAUGAAUCCUCCUUCUUCGCCCCGCCAGUGCCGGCGCGUUCGGAGCACCUACUACGUGGAAGUCAUGAUGGACCUGUAUUUCAAUGUCCUCUGUUUCGGCAUCACAAGUUCUCGAUGCUCCACUACUGCAAUGGCCUCCUUCUCCUUGAGAAGGAUGGUAAUUGUUACGUCUGUAACCCGGCGACAAUAAGGUGCGCUGAAUUGCCACCGCCAAUGAAGGAGGGUCGGUGGUGGUACCACGAAUUCAUGUUCCUCGCCUUCGACCCGGCCGUAUCUCCUCACUAUGAGGUAUUCCUCCUUCCAAGAUAUAGCGAAGAAAAGAUCCAACCAAACAAGGAAGUGGAGCAAAAAGAGAUGCAUGUCCAUGUGCGAGGGGUCGACGAGCAAGAUAAGGUGGUUUCUGUAUUGAUGAUCUCGUCACAAACCAAUCAAUGGGCGAGCCGGGAGUUUGUGCCAGGGCGUUGUGCCCCUGGGCCCCUCUAUCACAUGGUGACUGCGCCACACCCUAGGCAUGUGCGGAUAUGGAAGUCAGUUGAGUACUGGCAGGGCUCGCUCUAUGUACAUUGCCAGAACAACAUCGUUAUGAUCCUUCGCAACUUGAAUGGGUUGUAUGACAUGGCUCAGCUGCCGGGAAAAGCCUACGAUGACAAAGAAUAUCUAGGUCUUUCCGAGCUGCUCGACAGGUCCAUCUUAGCCAGCUACGACGGAGGAGUUCGCUAUGUGGCGCUCGACAAGUUCCAACUACAUGUAUGGAGAUUAACAGAAUCAGCCGCUGGCCAGAUUGGGUGGAUGCUAGAACAUGUGGCUGACCUUACUCCUUAUAAUCAUAAAGUACAACAGUUCAUGGAGCCUAGAGUGUCGUGGGAGGCGGUCGAAAGCAACAAAGCCUUACUUAGCUUGUUCGAACAAUGUAACUUGAAGGAAUUCGUAGAUGACGAGGAGGAUGACCAGAGUGACACUAUUGAUAAUAGUGAUAGCGGCACUACUGACAAUAGUGAUAGGGACACUAAAGAUGAUGAAGAAGGAAUACAUGAGGCAGAUGGAUUUGAUGGCACAACAGAUGAUGGUGACAGUCAUGGUAGUAGUGAUGAUGCAUGCGAACAUGAAGAUGAAGAUGGGGAUGAAGAUGAAGAUGAAGAAGGAGAAUUCAAAAGUGAAGAUGGUCUAAAAAACUCUUGGGACUCAGAUGAGGACAACUUCAUUGACCUGGAUGAAAGUGUCGCACACCUCGGGGACAAGGAGUAUGGGCGUUACAGAAUUAUAGGACUACAUCCACAUAAGGAAGUGGUGCUCUUCCUAACCUAUAGCGGCGUCGUGGCAUAUCAUCUUGACACCUCGAGGAUGCAAUAUUUAGGAUGGUGGCUUGUGAGAAACACACAUUCAAAUUUUAAUGGCAUUGGCGCUGCGUUCCCUUACCGCCCAUGCUAUGUCGACGCACUUCCGACGACUAAACUACCCUCCAGUUUUUGUGUAUCAUAUCAUCGUUGGUGA